UCUAGAGGCCCGGCAGAGCGGCAGAAACGCCGCAGAGCCGCUUUACUUGCCAUCUCAAUAUUUGUAUCAACUUUGUUACAUUUGUAUCAGCGCUUUUGUUCAUAAAUCUCCGCUCACUGUGACGGGAUGCCCUGGAACUGAAAUGUGGAGGUGUUAUCACGACUCGUGUUGAGUGACGAUUAACAACUGGAUCAACAGUCUGCAAACAAAGAGAUGGAAAUGAACACAACAACAGCUUUGAUGGGAUGUGGCAGUACACAAAAUCCAUUUAACAACCACUGCAUAGUCCCCACUCUAAAAUUUAUUUUCAAUAAUCCAUUAUCGUUAGAUGUACAUCACAAUAUGGAAUAAAAAAUUUGUCACCACUGCAGUUUCACUGCAGCUUUAAUCAUUACCAUUAUGCAAAUACUGUUUACAUUGUUAGUUGUAUUUUUCAACAUCAUAGGCAAAGCACAAAAUACAAUAUGUCAUCACUUAAUGCUGUAGAAUUAAUGAUUGAUGCCCAUCUGUUUUGCCAAAGAAAUCCCAGUUUAACAGCUGGAUAAACCCCCAACAGUAGGCACAUUAAUACUGUAAUUGUUCUACAGUUUUGCUUUUGUGUUAGUAGCCUUCUUUGUUUGGCCAUUCAGAGUUUAACAUCCUCUUCUUUCAAUAAAGACA